UACAGAGGGUGCGAGCGUUAAUCGGAAUUACUGGGCGUAAAGCGCGCGUAGGCGGCUUUGCAAGUCGGGUGUGAAAUCCCCAGGCUUAACCUGGGAACUGCAUUCGAGACUGCAUUGCUAGAGUAUGGGAGAGGGAAGUGGAAUUUCCGGUGUAGCGGUGAAAUGCGCAGAUAUCAGGAGGAACACCGGUGGCGAAGGCGGUUCUCUGGGCAUUACCUGACGCUGAGGAGCGAAAGUGUGGGGAGCGAACAGG
rnacentral:rRNA from 1 species